rnacentral:sRNA from 1 species
GCAGUCGUUCGGGUGAGCGAAGAUGGCGGCCGAGAGGGAACCUCCUCCGCUGGGGGACGGGAAGCCCACCGACUUUGAGGAUCUGGAGGACGGAGAGGACUUGUUCACCAGCACUGUCUCCACCCUAGAGAAGGAGGGUGUGCCGCUGCCAGGGGAGCGCAAUGAAGUGAGCGCUGAGGGGCCGAGGGUCUGUGGGGAAC